rnacentral:rRNA from 1 species
GACGAACGCUGGCGGCGUGCCUAACACAUGCAAGUCGAGCGAUGAAACCCUUCGGGGUGGAUUAGCGGCGGACGGGUGAGUAACACGUGGGUAACCUGCCUCAAAGGGGGGAAUAGCCUCCCGAAAGGGAGAUUAAUACCGCAUAAUAUGUUUUGAUCGCAUGAUCUUGACAUCAAAGGAGUAAUCCGCUUUGAGAUGGACCCGCGGCGCAUUAGCUAGUUAGUGAGGUAACGGCUCACCAAGGCGACGAUGCGUAGCCGACCUGAGAGGGUGAUCGGCCACAUUGGAACUGAGACACGGUCCAGACUCCUACGGGAGGCAGCAGUGGGGAAUACUGCGCAAUGGGGGAAACCCUGACGCAGCAACGCCGCGUGAAUGAUGAAGGCCUUCGGGUUGUAAAGUUCUGUCUUCUGGGACGAUAAUGACGGUACCAGAGGAGGAAGCCACGGCUAACUACGUGCCAGCAGCCGCAGUAAUACGUAGGUGGCAAGCGUUGUCCGGAUUUACUGGGCGUAAAGGAUGCGUAGGCGGACAUUUAAGUCAGAUGUGAAAUACCCGAGCUUAACUUGGGUGCUGCAUUUGAAACUGGGUGUCUAGAGUGCAUGAGAGGUAAGUGGAAUUCCUAGUGUAGCGGUGAAAUGCGUA